UCAUGAAACCACAUUUAGAUCCACUGAACCAAAUCCCCCACACUCAUAGAAUCAGUCACCGCUUGUGUUUUGUGAGUUCGCGAUACCAGAACCUCUCAACAAGGCGGAGAAGAGGAACAGAUUCCGUGACGGAUGUUGGACUUGUCUGCUGGCGCGGUGUGAAGUUGACGUUACCUCUUCCACAGUUGACGUUCCUUCAGUGACAACAUUUUAUUGUGCUGCAUCCGUUUCCUCCACUAUCAUCUGCUUAAUGGAAUCGAAAAAGGAGUUCACCCGAUACGCAGCCUUCAGGUGAAGAGUCCGUCCUCCAGCCUGCAGGCGACCGCUGCUCUGCCCUCACAUCUAAACCUGCGGAGCUGAAACUGUCUGUAAAUCUUCUCCAUUACGGCUCAAGGCUGUUGAACCUUUUACACCAUUAAGAGGAUCAGGAAAGACUUCCAGCAUGCACUGUUUCUCUACAACACUUUGAGAAACACCAAGCAGGCUUUUACUACAAAACAUGUUUCGUUUAAACCACUAAACAUGAGCAGCCAUUAAAAAAAACCCGACAUUGUUUAAAACUAGAAUAGCACUCAGUCGAGCACUUUCCUCCGCCAAGGCCGAACGGUUGAAUUCAAUCAAAGUUGCACACACUCACAGAACCAGUCAGUAAACGUGACAAUUUUUUUCUGUGAAGUCAGUGAACAUGUCAAAAAGAAAGAGAUGAAAACUUCCUGGCUCCGCCCCCUUCAUCCAGAUCCUCACCAACAUGUCGUGGAUUCCGCGUUCCAUCCUUCACCAAGUUUCAUGGAAAUCCGUUCUGACAACACAAAAACCAACCAACCAACCCUAGGACAGGGGUGACCCCAUUUUUUUUUUAAAGCUCCGCCUCCUUGGCGGCGUUACUGCCACUGUCUAAAACUGGUCUCAUCAGAUCAAGUAGAGCAUCGAUGAGGAAAAGCAUAAGUUGUCACUUUGGACAGUGUUGAUUGUGGGCCGGAGGUUUGGAACCAGCCCUGGAGCUGUUACAUGUGAAUUGUCUUCAUAACAUAUUCUACAUGACUUCAUUCGAAAGCUUCUCCGUCAGUUUUCUCUGCUUUUGCUGCGAUCCGUCCUCGGAGCAGCAGACUCUGGACACUACGGUGACCAGACGGGCCGCGGCUAGCUGGUUAGCAUGCUAACAUCGGUAGAAGCAAAGAAGUGAUAGAAAGUGAACACUGGUUUUCGCCGCUGGAGACAGAAGUUUGAUGCCGAACUCGGCGUUUCUUGCAGAUUGCAGCAGACUGACGGCAGCGAUGUACUCGACAAAGUCGAUGUAACCGUCCUGCAGACAGAGGGGAAGGUCGGAGGUUAAACCCUGGAUCGGUUCCACUGAGGAUCAACCUCAACCUCAAGGUCUCUGAAGUCGACAUCAUGGGUUUGAACAGAUUUUAGUUAUUAUUCCAUCAAUGCACAUCUGUUCUGCAUCGUUUAAUCAGUAAAAUAAAAGUUUUCAUAUGGAA